ACCACAACGGUGGAGCGUUGCGGUUUAAUUUGGAGUCCAACGCCGGAAAGUCUUACCGGACCGACAGCAACAUGAAGGCCAGGCUGAAGACUUUGCCGGAUUAGCUGAGAGGUGGUGCAUGGCCGUCGUCAGUUCGUACUGUGAAGCAUCCUGUUAAGUCAGGCAACGAGCGAGACCCACGCCCACAGUUGCCAGCGUACUCUCUGGAGUGACGGGUACACUGUGGGACCGCCGCUGCUAAAGCGGAGGAAGGAAUGGGCAACGGUAGGUCAGUAUGCCCCGAAUAUCCCGGGCUACACGCGAGCUACAAUGGUUGGUACAAUGGGUAUCUACCCCGAGAGGGGACGGGAAUCUCCUAAAACCAAUCUUAGUUCGGAUUGAGGGCUGCAACUCGCCCUCAUGAAGCUGGAAUCCGUAGUAAUCGCGUUUCAACAGAACGCGGUGAAUACGUCCCUGCUCCUU
rnacentral:rRNA from 1 species